GGGCUUUGAGGUAUCAGGGAAUGAGCCCUGCCCCUCUGUUGCUGCUGUCACUUGAUCUGCGUUUGGAAGUAUGGCACCUUGAAAGUAGGAUCUGCCUGGCGGUAGGAGCUGGAGACACCUAGGUGAAAGGCUAGCGCUGAAGUGCAAUACACAGUCACUUGGCCAAGACUUGCCAGUGAUAGGAAUCUGCUGGAUGUACCACUGAGGACAAACUGCUUGAAGAACCCAUAUUGCUAACUCAGGCUUUAUUUGGCUAUCCCAACAAGAGGUCUGUGUCUUUAGGAAGCGAUGUGAUGCCUGAGAUGUGCCAAGAAGAAUAGGUCUGUGCAGGUUAAAGGAGAACCCAUCCCACCUUAGUCCAUGUUGCAGCACUGUGGCUUGUUCCUGCAGGGAGCAGUGAAACAUCAGACUGAUGCUGGUGAUAGCAGAAGAUGGAAGAAAAGUACAUGAUGCCCAGUUGCGAAGGCUCGUUUUGUUGACUGAAAAAUUGCAAGUCUGCCUUCAUAGCCUUGUAUCCCCUGGGGACCAGUAAUGCUGGUUUAUGCAGUUGCAUGAGUCCACACUAGUUUCAUCAGGCUGGAGCCCUCUGCACAAUUGCUCUGUCACGUUUAGCUGAGGGAGAGCAGAAGUGGGUGAGGUGAUGUUACCCAGACCCCCUGUUGUUUUGGGAAUCACCCAGUGAUGCAGGCAGCUCUCUGUGCUUAAAUGAAGCUCUUGGUAGCAGACUGAUUAUAUCAAACACUCAGUGCCCUGGCAGCACUUCUGAAAGCCAAACCCAGAGUGAAUGACAAAGUGUUUUUCCGUUCCUUGGAAAGUACAUGCUCCCAAACUGCUUUCCUUUUUGCUGCCCCACCAUUCACUGCACAUGGAGGAUUUGUUUAUGUUAGGCUGUGUAAAAAAAUCUGCAUGUUAUCUCAGAGCUGGGCAGAUUAAUCCAGAGGAAGAUUUACUUGAGUGUAAAUCAAAGGCUUUGUUUUCUUGGAUAGUUCUUCAAUGUCUUGAGUCUAAAUCCAUCAUAUCCGUGCAGCACUCCAAUAUUUCAAAGGAAUUUGGAAAGUUUGCUAUCCACCACAGUUUGUAACCAGACUGGAAGCACUGGGUGUAUUGCCAUCUUUUUUUCUGCUCUUGGGGCUUCUGCUCUGCUAUCUUUUACCUAAUUUAUUUUUGUUAUGAUUAAUAUUGAAGAGCUCUGAAGCCCCGAUGAGGGCUGUACAAAUAAAAGCUACAACCCAAAUCCAUGACAUGCGCUCCCAGUUCUGCGUAAACGGAUUCUGAGCUGAGCCUGUGUAACUGCACGUAACUGAUGUGCACAGGGCUGUACUUAACCUUUCUCUGCCCAGAAGCAGGAAAAUAUUUCCACGGCUGCUAUACUUUUCUAGUUUUCCUAAGUGUUUCAGGCAGGAGUUAUAAGGACCCUUUGAUUUAAAUUGCAUAAAAUGUAUUAAUCCCUUGUAUUCCUUGCUUCAGGUGUUAGAUUAUUUCCUGUAUGGCGUUCUCAGGUUGCUGGUGUCCUGCAGGUACCAGCCUACCUGGUGUGCUAUGCCGCCAUGUCUGCACCAGGCGCUUUAGGAAGUUGUUGGGAGCAAAAAACUCCCCUCCUGCUCGACAGCUUUGUUACCUCUGUAAUGGGAGUGGUGGUGAGCUGCUGCUUGUUCUGACACCUUGUGGGCACCUCUGUGCAGGGAAAGCUUUAGAAGUGGGUAACACUUUCAUUCCCAGCUUCUGCCUUUGAAAUAUGAAUGUAUGGAGAAUACGGGUCUCAGUAUAUUCACAGCUGGAGAUGGGCAGUCCAAGAAAUAUUGGCAGAGCUCUAGAGAUUCAGCAGAACAACAUUGCGGGGCUAGGUUAUUUAGGAAGUUGGGCAGGAUCAGUUCUGGGUGUUGACAGACAGUUUAUGGUUUGUGUAUAGCAACUGGGCUUCCUGCACUGAUGCUUGUGUCCAGUGUGAUCUGGAGGCAUUCCUGUUGAGAAAUUGAGUCCUGACUCCUCUGUUGCAUCCACAGGGCAAGCUGGAGAUUCUCUGUUGUCUGCUUUUUCCAGCAGCUGUGAGCACGCUUCAGUUGAUCACAUGUAUGCAAGUCAAACGAUUAAAAAAGAUAUAACCAAAUAGCUGUCAGUUGCUGAUGCAGCUCUUCAGUCUGAGUGAAAAGCAAAGUGAAGUGGCCCUGAGGCUGAGCUCCACAUCUGGCUGUCAGGCUGCAGGGAAGCUGAAUGCAAGGGGCUGGCCUGGAGGAGACAGGGAUUUGGACUCUCAGCCAAAGGCACUGCGAUCACAGGGAAGGAUGGAAAACCAGGUGCAGGAGCAAGAGCGGUGUUUUCAUGGUGUGAUUCCAGGAAAAGGGCAGAGAGCUUAAGAGAUAAAAGGUUAAUUAGCUAGAGCUCUGGGUGUUGUUUGGUAUGUGUCUUGCAGGGUGAGGAAACCAGCAUCUUUAAACAAAGCCUCUUCCUUUGGGAUUUAAAUGCUGGGCUCAAAUAGCAGUCAGAACAAGGAGAAGUUUUGUUUCUCAUGUCACAUCAAACUGGAAAUGGCAAGAUAUCCAAACCAAUUGGCAGCUUGCACUGUCAGGUGCAGAAGGCUGAGAAUUGCCAGCCAAUACUUUCCUGGGCUGUUCCUUUAAUUUCUUCAAGUUGCUGGUGUGUAAAGUUGCUGUCUCCAGCAUUUUUGCUCUAGGCCCCUAAGGAUCAGCUUCUUUUCCUUUUGGCUUGGGGAUCACCAAAGCAGAGCUCAAGUGAUGAGUCUUUUUGUACAAGAACUUCGAAACAAGGCAGCUUUCUCCUCUACAUUUUGUGCAGCUGUGGGCAGUCAUGUGCACUCCCAAAUUUUUUUCAUUCUUUAUUCUGUCCAUAUUUCUAGCUCAGGCACCAUAACAGAGAGCUGGAUAGCGUAUUGUUCCUGCAUUGCUGCUAGAGAUUUCUGUAUCAGUGCUGACGCUGUAAUAAGGCUACAGUUCUAUGUUGGUGUGAGACUCCAGAAAUCAGCAUUUGCCUUUGUCUCACAAAACAUACUGUUGGUGUAUUUCCAGUGCUAAU